UAGGGAAUCUUCCACAAUGGACGAAAGUCUGAUGGAGCAACGCCGCGUGAGUGAAGAAGGGUUUCGGCUCGUAAAACUCUGUUGUUAGAGAAGAACAUAUCUGAGAGUAACUGUUCAGGUAUUGACGGUAUUUAACCAGAAAGCCACGGCUAACUACGUGCCAC
rnacentral:rRNA from 1 species